GAUGAACGCUGGCGGCGUGCUUAACACAUGCAAGUCGAACGGAAAGGCUCCUGCUUGCAGGGGUACUCGAGUGGCGAACGGGUGAGUAACACGUGGGUGAUCUGCCCUGCACUUCGGGAUAAGCCUGGGAAACUGGGUCUAAUACCGGAUAGGACGAUGGUUUGGAUACCAUUGUGGAAAGUUUUUCGGUGUGGGAUGAGCUCGCGGCCUAUCAGCUUGUUGGUGGGGUAAUGGCCUACCAAGGCGUCGACGGGUAGCCGGCCUGAGAGGGUGUACGGCCACAUUGGGACUGAGAUACGGCCCAGACUCCUACGGGAGGCAGCAGUGGGGAAUAUUGCACAAUGGGCGCAAGCCUGAUGCAGCGACGCCGCGUGGGGGAUGACGGCCUUCGGGUUGUAAACUCCUUUCGCUAGGGACGAAGCGCAAGUGACGGUACCUGGAGAAGAAGCACCGGCUAACUACGUG
rnacentral:rRNA from 1 species